UGUUUAAAAUAUGCAGGAAAUUAUGCUAGAUCUUGGUGGAGCAGUAAAAAGAAAUAUCAAUAAUAAGUGGAGACAAAACCCAGCAUCCUCUUCAGUUACGUCUGCAACCCCAGUAUUCUUCAUUAAUCAGGAACUCAAAGAAAACAGAAUUAUAUGCUGUCCUGAAUACAAAACUGAACUGUUUAGAUUCAGCGUAAGUCAGUCUACAUUACAGGGCGCUACUACUGUUACUUGUGAACAUUCUGUUUACUGGAUAAAUCUAUUCUGAAUUGCAGCAGUAUGCAAGCUAAUUAAGAAAACCACCUGUCUAUUAUAAAACCACUGAAAUACUGAAUUACUAUUUGAUAUUUUAAAUACAAAACCAUAAAGCUAAAAAACUGUCAGAGAAAUCUAUUUUGAAAUAACCGAUGAAUGUUACACUUCGAUAGGAGGGAUACUGUAUCAAUAGGUGUGUUAGACCCACAUGGUUUGGAAAUAAAAUGAUUUACCAGAUCAAUAAUAAAAGCAACCACUGGCAUAAGUAGGUAGCAGAUAGAACAAAAUAAAACAUUAUCUUAAAGACGGAAAGGAGACAAAUUAAUAGGCAUUACCAGUGAUGAGCAGAUCUGACUUCCAGAGGAACACAAGUCUAAAAUAAGUUACUCAGAUUCUGUAGUAAGGCUUUUCCAGAUAUCAAAGAAUAAGACAGGGAUGGUUCCUAUAACUGCAUACACUGUGACUAACACUCUUGAAACCCUCAAACAGAUUAUCACAGACUAGAUCAUGGCUGAGAAAAGGAAGUACAUGAUGUGUGAGGGAAAGACAGGAGAUCAUCCUUACAAUUCCUUGCAACAGUAAUUUCAGAGCUGUUAUUUAUAAUACUUGACCUUUCUUACAGAUGGAUUUUUUUUUCAUUUAGCUAAAAGCCUCCAAUCAUUUUCUUCCCAGUACUGCAGUUUUAAAAAUGAAAGAUUAGAAGGUAGGACUCUAUAGAAACUCCUCAGACUGUGGGAGGGAGAGGGGUUAUCAAACCUGCCAGCUGAGCUUGGUUUGAAGAUUGCUAUACAAAGUUUACCUUGGAAAUAAAAGCCUGAAACCAAGUCCAUCCAGCCUGAGAAAAGUGCAAGUGGAGACCUACCACUUGGAAAGGCAGCCCAUGAAGAUACUCAGCCUUCAUCCAUGUUUCUCUGUUUCAGUGCCAAAUUCCUCCUCCUCCUUAGUAGAUGUUUUAACUGUUCAUCUUCCAUUUGAUCUUUAAGCUCCAGCUCUGGCAAAAUAAGCCCUGGAAAUGGCAUCUCCACAUCUUAGUAGCUCAGAUGUAUGCUUGAUCCCUUGAAACAUCUACCGAGGAAUGACUGAACGACACUGACUUGCUUGCCUGCUAGUUUCCUAGUGAUCCUGCUAGUGAUGUUCAGUAAGGAUAAUCUGGAAUUUUACUGAACAAAACAUUUAUUACUGCAGGAACUUUUGACACUAGUAAUAUCCUCUGAGCUGUGGCUCUAUCUUUAACAAAGUUGCUUCUACAACUAUUUUGUAGCCUGGAGAAUAAAUAGCCACUGAAUUAAAUGUAUAGUGAAUUAUCAGCUUCAGUUUUUUAAGGUCCCAGAUUCUGUGGUCCAGCACAAUCACUUAAAGUCCUAAAUCUGAAUGAAUAAAAGUUCUAGAACUUCUAGUACCAUGAGUUAAUUUAAGGAGUUUAUUAGAUUAAUUACAAUGAAUCAACACCUUAUGCUUCCUGUAACACAAGGCUGUAUGACACUACCCAACAAAAAGCAAAGCUUUACAAAGGAAAAUGACUUGUAGCAGUGAAGAGGGAGAAAAAAUAAGAAAGAAAAAAAAAAAAGAACACAAACAAGAUAAGCCAUGAAAUAAAAAAAAAAACAAACACACAGCUAGAGACAUAUUGUUUCCUUUCUCACAGCUAUGUAUUUAGUACAGAAUUUUGUAUACAAUGAAGACAAGAUGUUGCCAUAGACUCCAAUAAAGUACUAAACUAGAUUAAGGAUAUAUGUCAGUUGGUUUCCACUGCAGAACAUUGAAUUAAAAAUAAAGACGUAUCUCUGUCAAGACCGAAGUAUGCAUUAUUUGUCUUCUAGAAUGCUUAUGUUGUCCCAUCUACUGCUUUGCAUUCAGAAGAAAAAUCCAGUAUUUCAUAUGAAAAAUUUCUUCACCAAAAGAUUUGUCAAGCAUUGGAACAGGCUGCCCAGGGAAGUGGUUGAGUCACCACCCCUGGAAGUAUUUAAAAGAUGUGUAGAUGUGGCACUUGGGGACAUGGUUUAGUAGUGGACUUGACAGUGGUAGGGUAAUGGCUGGACUUGACCUUACAUGUCUUUUGCAACCUAAACAAUUCUAUGAUA